rnacentral:tRNA from 1 species
GACCGCAUGGCCUAAUGGAUAUUGGGUCUGACUUCGAAUCAGAAGAUUGAGGGUUCGAGUCCCUCUGUGGUCU